rnacentral:rRNA from 1 species
AUGCGGCAAGCUACACAUGCAAGUCGAGCGGUAGCACAGAGAGCUUGCUCUCGGGUGACGAGCGGCGGACGGGUGAGUAAUGUCUGGGAAACUGCCUGAUGGAGGGGGAUAACUACUGGAAACGGUAGCUAAUACCGCAUAAUGUCGCAAGACCAAAGUGGGGGACCUUCGGGCCUCAUGCCAUCAGAUGUGCCCAGAUGGGAUUAGCUAGUAGGUGGGGUAACGGCUCACCUAGGCGACGAUCCCUAGCUGGUCUGAGAGGAUGACCAGCCACACUGGAACUGAGACACGGUCCAGACUCCUACGGGAGGCAGCAGUGGGGAAUAUUGCACAAUGGGCGCAAGCCUGAUGCAGCCAUGCCGCGUGUGUGAAGAAGGCCUUCGGGUUGUAAAGCACUUUCAGCGGGGAGGAAGGCGAUAAGGUUAAUAACCUUGUCGAUUGACGUUACCCGCAGAAGAAGCACCGGCUAACUCCGUGCCAGCAGCCGCGGUAAUACGGAGGGUGCAAGCGUUAAUCGGAAUUACUGGGCGUAAAGCGCACGCAGGCGGUCUGUCAAGUCGGAUGUGAAAUCCCCGGGCUCAACCUGGGAACUGCAUUCGAAACUGGCAGGCUAGAGUCUUGUAGAGGGGGGUAGAAUUCCAGGUGUAGCGGUGAAAUGCGUAGAGAUCUGGAGGAAUACCGGUGGCGAAGGCGGCCCCCUGGACAAAGACUGACGCUCAGGUGCGAAAGCGUGGGGAGCAAACAGGAUUAGAUACCCUGGUAGUCCACGCCGUAAACGAUGUCGAUUUGGAGGUUGUGCCCUUGAGGCGUGGCUUCCGGAGCUAACGCGUUAAAUCGACCGCCUGGGGAGUACGGCCGCAAGGUUAAAACUCAAAUGAAUUGACGGGGGCCCGCACAAGCGGUGGAGCAUGUGGUUUAAUUCGAUGCAACGCGAAGAACCUUACCUGGUCUUGACAUCCACAGAACUUUCCAGAGAUGGAUUGGUGCCUUUCGGGAACUGUGAGACAGGUGCUGCAUGGCUGUCGUCAGCUCGUGUUGUGAAAUGUUGGUUAAGUUCCCGCACGAGCGCACCUUAUCCUUUGUUGCAGCGUCGUCGGCAACUCAGAACUGCAGUGAUAACUGAGAGGGUGGGGAUGACGUUCAAGUCAUUCCAU